rnacentral:tRNA from 1 species
UGUAUCUUAGUGUAAAUAAACACAUUAAUUUUGUAAAUUAAAGAUUUUAAAUACAU